CGGACCUCAGAUCAGGCAAGACCACCCGCUGAGUUUAAGCAUAUCACUAAGCGGAGGAAAAGAAACUAACAAGGAUUUCCUUAGUAACGGCGAGCGAACCGGAAGUAGCCCAGCUUGAAAAUCU
rnacentral:rRNA from 1 species